rnacentral:rRNA from 1 species
AUCUAUGGCCAUACCACCCUGAACAUGUCCAGUCUCGUCUGAUCUCAGAAGCUAAGCAGGGUCAGGCCUGGCUAGUACCUGGAUGGGAGAAAGCUAUUGAUAUAAGGCAACAUAAUUU